UGCGCAGGCGGCUCCGCAAGUCAGGCGUGAAAUCCCCGGGCUUAACCUGGGAAUGGCGCUUGAAACUACGGGGCUGGAGUAUGGCAGAGGGAGGUGGAAUUCCACGUGUAGCGGUGAAAUGCGUAGAGAUGUGGAGGAACACCGAUGGCGAAGGCAGCCUCCUGGGCCAAUACUGACGCUCAUGCACGAAAGCGUGGGGAGCAAACAGGAUUAGAUACCCUGGUAGUCCACGCCCUAAACGAUGAUGACUAGUUGUUGGAGGAGUUAAAUCCUUUAGUAACGCAGCUAACGCGAGAAGUCAUCCGCCUGAGGAGUACGGUCGCAAGAUUAAA
rnacentral:rRNA from 1 species